GUAGGGGGCGAGCGUUGUCCGGAUUUAUUGGGCGUAAAGCGCGCGUAGGCGGUUCGUUAAGUCGAGUGUGAAAACCCGGGGCUCAACCCCGGGCCUGCAUCCGAUACUGGCGGACUCGAGGCAGGCAGGGGAGAGUGGAAUUCCCGGUGUAGCGGUGAAAUGCGCAGAUAUCGGGAGGAACACCGGUGGCGAAGGCGGCUCUCUGGGCCUGUCCUGACGCUCAGGCGCGAAAGCUAGGGGAGCAAACAGGAUUAGAUACCCUGGUAGUCCUAGCCGUAAACGUUGGGUGCUAGGUGUGGGGCGGCGUUCGACCCGCUCCGUGCCGAAGCUAACGCAUUAAGCACCCCGCCUGGGGAGUACGGCCGCAAGGCUAAA
rnacentral:rRNA from 1 species